rnacentral:lncRNA from 1 species
UUGGCAGCUGUGGGUCUCUUCUUGGGCUUGAGAGGCAGCUUUCCUCCCAUAGCCAAAAGGUCAUCCUCAAUCUCCUUUUUGGAAUGCUAAAUCUCAAUUUUGGGCCAAAAUCCAUUGGUUUUCAGCCUUCUAUCUUUAUUGGCACUUCUGAGCCUUUGAGACCAUUGCAAGCUUUCACGCUCUAUAUCUUCUCUUGCCGUUUUAACAGGGUUUUCAGGGAUUUUAUGAUGUGGUUCAACCAACUUUUCAGCCUUCUUUAUUGGGUCCAAUCUUCACUGUUCGAGGACGUUUUUCUGUUACCCAUUUCCAUGGUAGAUUAGAGUUUCCACGGUUUUGCCCCAUUUUAUUGGGAAAGAAGAGAGGAAGAAAAAGGAAAAUAAGGGUGGAGCUGAGAGGGAGAGUAAAGGAUGAGAGUUGAAAGGGAGAGAGAGUAGAAAACCAAAAAAGAGUGAGGAAGAUUUGAGAGAGAGAGGGAGUGCAGAGAGCUUAGAGGAAGAGUUAAC